ACAAGAUCCCUCUAAGUAGGUGGGAACUAGAGGCUCUUCAAAGUCACUCUGGCAGUAGUACACUUGAGAGGUAUAUAGACCAGGUUGAGAGGAGACAAAGUUAGCUCUUUUCGUCAAUUUAGAAUUUCUGAUAGAAAACGAUCCGGCUAUAAACUCAGUACAUAUUUCAUUUUAAGUAUUCGUUUACUUUUUUCUUUGGACUUGCCUGAGAGUAUGUAUAUGUAUCACGUGCCUGGAAACCCACAGAACCGAGAAGAGGGUGUCAGAUCCCUUAGAACAUGAGUAAGAGGCAGCCUGGUAUAAGCGCUGAGACGAAACCUGGGAUCCCCUGAAACAGCAGCAAGUGUUCUUAAUUCCUGAGUCACUCACCUCUCUAGUCCUUAAAACAUUUUCUUAUAUCACAUACAUUAUCCAUUAUCUGGGUUAGAAAUCAUGGGAGAAAUUAGGAGUACUGACAUAAGAGUCAUAGUGCCUUGUUGCAGUUGUAGACAAAUCCUUCUUCCUGUUUAUUGUGGCUUUGGCUUGAACUUGAAAAAGGAAGCCAUCGAGACUGACUUUAGAGGCGUGGGGUGAAGCUAAAGGAGAUGACCUAAAUACUGCUCCUGCUACUGUGUCUGUGAGAUGUAGGUGCUUCAUGAUGCUCUCUUCAUUCUGUCAUGAAUGAAUGAGGAUUUGACUUCUCACUUACCCCCGGACCUAGUGAGUACAGAACUUCCAGAGUCCACAAUUUGAAGUUAAGAGAAAAUAUAUCAUUUUGUUGAGCUUUGAUAAGCAACUCUGAGAGCUUAGUGGAGAUUGUGAAUCAGUGGUUAAGGCAACAUUGAAACUUUGAAUUGCAUCUUAAGUCCCCUCACCUAAGUAUGUAGCAGUGAAAGCAGCUGCUGAAUGCAUGGAGAUGAGGAGCUAUGCUUGCCUGAAGAGUCAGUGGUGGAGAAAUAGAAACAAUUCACAUCCUUAGAAAUAUCAACUGAAAAAAAAAUCAAUAAAUAUUGAUAUGUCC
rnacentral:lncRNA from 1 species